rnacentral:rRNA from 1 species
GACGAACGCUGGCGGCGUGCCUAAUACAUGCAAGUCGAGCGAGCGGCGGACGGGUGAGUAAUGUAUGGGGAUCUGCCCGAUAUAGGGGGAUAACUACUGGAAACGGUGGCUAAUACCGCAUACUAUCGUAUGAACCCAGAUGGUAUUAGCUAGUAGGUGGGGUAAAGGGUCACCUAGGCGACGAUCUCUAGCUGGUCUGAGAGGAUGAUCGGCCACACUGGGACUGAGACACGGACCAGACUCCGACGGGAGGCAGCAGUGGGGAAUCUUGCACAAUGGACGCAAGCCUGAUGCAGCCAUGCCGCGUGUAUGAAGAAGGCUUUAGGGUUGUAAAGCACUUUAAGCGGGGAGGCGUUACCCGAAGAAGAAGCACCGGCUAACUCCGUGCCAGCCGCCGCGGUAAUAC